ACUUUUCUUAGGCAUUUCUCUUCUCUGCUUCAUACAGACUGUAGCUGGGAGUUGGUGUUUCGGGUGUUCAAAAACAAGAAAUGCUGGUUUUGUGCCUCUGAAAUGUAAAACAUGUAAUAGGAGUCUUGAAAAUGGAGAGUGUAUAGAGGGAUUUGGCACCUGUACUACCGAAAAACACGAGAGCUGUGUAAUUGAGAAAUUCUACUUGAAUGGAAUCAUUCAGUUUGCAAGGAUGGGAUGCAAAAAACAUUGUAAAUCAAUGAAAAUAGUAAGACAUGGAGAUACAUGGAUAUAUGCGUGCUGUUGGAGUCAAAACUUCUGUAAUAAGUUCUAGCAGCCCUGACUUUUCCCCUCAGACAGUAAUUUCUGGAGAACUAUGACCUCAAUCUGAAGACUACACUCGCAUUUUUUGGUCUGAAAUAUUUGUGACUCCUAAGAGGUUGGUGUUUCCUACCCUUAUUAGCAGGAUCCACUGACCAGUCCCUUCUCUUCUCUAGUAAUAUAGAGUGUCCAUGUAUGUGAAAACAACUUGCGAUUAUAGAGGACGAUCUACCUUGAAUUAGACUUUUUGAGACCAAGAUACCACUCCUUCCCAUUAUAUCCUCAUUUCUUCUUUCUCUCCCUCCUAUGCAACUUUUUCCCUCUGUGGUUUUUACCACACCAUAAUAGCGUGAUAGAACAAACAUUGAACUAGGAAGCCUGGAUGUGAAUCCUAGCUCUACUUAUUUCCUUACUGAAUGAUCAUGGACAAGUUUCUAAACUCAGUUUCUUCAACUUUAAAAAGGUUCGGAAAUACUUAUAUUACUUCCCUUACAAGGUUAUUAUGAAAAUCAAUAGUUCUUUUUAAUUCUAAAAUAAAAUAGAAAUAUGAAUUGUUAUUUUUAUCAUUUUAACUAUACACUAAUUUUUAAUCUCGCUUUCCUCUUCCUGUCACCAAAAAGAUAAUUUCUGUGAUGUCCCCAAAGAAAAAUAAAAAUAAUUGGAAGCAAAUUAUAUAGUUCUUAGGGAAUUACAAGUUCUUAGGGAAAAAGAAUCUAAUACUAUUUUGAUUUCCCAGAGUUUAUUACUCCAUUAAUUUUUUUUAGAGGGGGAUGAGGCAAUUGAGGUUAAAUGACUUGCCCAGAGUCACACAGCUAGUAAGUGUUAAGUGGCUGAGGUCAGAUUUGAACCUCUAGACUCCAGGGCCAGUGCUCUAUUCACUUUGUCAUUUAGUUGCCUCCCCUCCCUUUUUUUUCCAAAUUUAUUUUAUUUGAAGAAACAGAAUAAGCAAAAAGAAAAACAGAAAAGCAAUACCAAAUAAAAGAGAAUAUUAUCGUGUGCCUCACAGAACAUCAGGGAGGAUUCAAAAUAUAGGACAACUAAAACCAAUUUAAGAAAGUAUAUAUAUUAGUAGAAGAAGUUAUAUUCACAAAUAUCCAUCUAUUCUUUACUUCCUUAUAAGUUGUUAUUUUGAUCUUUGCUGUGUACCUUAUCUAAUUUAUUCUUUUUUCCCCCUUUCAUUCCCCCCACCAUCCCCCAAGUAGGCUAUAGAUAAGAAAAGAUAUAUUUACAUACACGUGUAGGGCCAGUAUUGAAUAAAUCCAUGUACAGGAAGAGUCCAGUUAAGGUAUUACUUGAGACCUGCUCUCUGUAAGGGCAAAUAAUUCAAAGCAUUGGUUAACCACCUCCCUUAAUUAUGAAUGAAAGAUAUACUUGAGAUAAAUUUAGGAUAAUCUUAAUGGAGAAUGCAUGUGACAGGAACAGGCAGCACAAUUACGCUAUUUACAACUCUGUUUUGACAAAUAAUACCUUCUUAUUAAUAGUUACUGUUAUUUAAGACCCUGUUAUGAUAAAUACUUGUUAGUUAAGGUGGAACUGAAAUGUAGAACUAUGGUCUACAUCAAACCCGGAAUGUACAUAGUGCCACCUGAAGGUAGCUGAUGUUAAUGCAACACUAACUUAAAGAAUACAUAAACUCUGGACCUCAGAUUAAUAAACGAAAAAUAGCAAAGCAUGUUUUUCUGCCGGGCUUGUGGAAUAUUCAAUACAUAUUCAUACUCUCGGUACUCACUAGACUUGGACUCCAACAGCUAGCACCCGAACAGGAACUUGAAUGACCUAGCUGGAGAGUGACCGCUUGGUGAGUUCAACAAUUAAAGAAAAAAACGGUAAACAAGAAGGGAAAGUAGUUUAUCACUAGGCUAACAUGAGGAUUUAUAUAUAAGAUUGAUCCUUGUCCACCUGAUAUCAAUAUAGUACACAUAUUGAAUUGGAAUUGAACAAAAAUCAAUCAGGUAGCUGGGACAGAGGGACAUUCUAUACAAAAAUCAUGCAAAGAUCCAAUGAGAUCUUUGCUGACUUUGUCAGUCUCUUAAUGAUGGCGAUUCAGCCUUCAAUCAACAUGGGGAAGCAGUUUAAAUUUUAUUGAAACAACUUGCUCUUCAAAAUGUUAAUGCCAGUUGUAAGAAAGCAUUAGCUGGGGAAAAACAAAAUAUGUCUUUAGUAGAAAUGAUCCAAAGGUGUCAGAAUGCUAUUUACAACUCUGUUUUGACAAAGACCCUGUUAUGAUACUUUGUUAUUGCUAGUUAAGGUGGAACUGGAAUGUCAAAAUAUGGUCUAUACAUUAAACCCGGAAGGUACAUAGUUCCACCUGGAGGUAACUGGUGUAAAUGCAAUAUGAGCUUAAAGAGCAUAUAAACUCUGACUCUCAGAUUAAUAAACAAAAUAUUGCAAAGCA